UUGGGGAGGGGUCAAGCCCUUCUUUUUGCCUGGUUCUUCGGGUCCUGCCCUGGGUUCUCUCCCAGGUCCCUCCAGGACAGGUAACUGGCAGUACCAGAGACUGCUCUUGGGGUCAGCUGGACAGGGUGAACAAACAGCAUGCAUUGGGGGGACCCCCAACACACACACACACACACACACACACACUUCCCACUCAGAGCAGGACACAGUUAAGUGGCUGUCGUUGAGAUGGAGCCUAAGGGCAGGGCACAGAUGACAUGGGACAGGGCACACUGCUCACACUGCCACCAGCUCACAUCCCUUUCAUUCCCACUCACCCGAACGGUCCCAGGGUUCGUUUCCCAUCUUUAAAGAAGAAAGAGGAGGCAGGGUGGGGGACCAGGUUCUUUACAUUUCUGAGCUUUGGGGCCUGUGCUGAGACUUGCUUCUGAACGGGAAGGACAAAACCAGCUGAGGGAGGGGGUCCUAGUUGGUCCUGGAGGGGCGUGAGUGUGACACGUGGAACUGCUCUGCAGACCUGAGACUUGGAAGUGUCUUAGGUACCGCUCUCUGGAAGCACACCCAGAUAUCGGUUGGUCUCAGGAGGUUUAGGGGGGACUCCUUGAGAAGCAGAGCCUGAAAGAUGGGGGGAGAGGCUGAGCUCUGGUUGUGCUAGGGAGUUCCAGAACCUAGAUGCACCGCAGGGGUUCCAGCUGGGGUACCCCUGCCUCCAGUUGCUAGAUGAGAAACCUGGGUGAGGCAGGUUUCUUCCCUGGAGGGCAGCUCCCUGAGGGGGACUCUGACAAUAAAUAACGCUCAGCCUUCAGUGCUCCCAGCCCUAGAGAGCCAGGAGAACACAGUGCAGUGCCUAGGGGCCUAUGGAGGGUGCAGGGACAGACUUCUGCUUAUGAUAAAAAGUUCUCUCCUCCCACAAUGCAAGGCCACAGGCUUUGGAUGGACUGGGCAGGCCAUGGCGUCCCACCUCAUGCCAGCAGUGCUUUCACUUCUGACCCUGCCUCUCCAGGGGUUCAGCCAAGCUCAUCCUAUUCAGCACCCGGGACAGCUCCCCACCACCCGAGCCGUGGGACCACCACACCCAGAGUGCCGGAGGGCUCUGAAGCUAAGGAACUCAGUUUUCAGUGCCUAGAAUGGGCCCCCGAUAUUCCUGCGACUACCUCCAUUGGGCCCUGUGACCUGGGCAAUCACCUCAGCUCUCAAGAGAAAAGGCACCUUCCUGUGGAGAUUUGGACCCCAGCCUGCAGAAUUUGAACCACUUCCGAGUUCUCAUCCUUCCUGCCUCAGUUUCCACAGCUGCAGCAUGGGUGCAAUGAUACUCUUUCUCUUUGGGCUUUGGAGGUUUUUAAAAAAACCUGUCUGGCCUCUA